AGCUGCAGCAUGCUCUGUCUUGAAGGCUUCUUUCUUAACCACCUCAUGUUGCCAUGAAAGCACCAUUUGCCUGCCACUGGGCUCGCCUGCGCUGGCUUCCACACUGUCCAGCUGCCUGGAAUACAGACACAAUGGGUCUGGGCAGUGAGGUCUCCUCAGAGGGGCCCAUGAGCUACACACACUGGGGGGGCUGACCCUCGGGACGCAGGGUGCCCCUCAGGGUGUCCUCAACUCAGCAAGGCACCACUGACCCCCGAGUUAUGGCUGCCCAGAUGUCCAGUGGCCAGGUACCCAGGCCCCUCCUGGAGCCACAGCAGUGGCAGGAGGCAGGAUGUGCCCACUCCACGGAAGAGCACAGGUGUGGGACUGAGGCCACUCCAGGUCGUGCCUCCUCGGGCUUCCUGGCCUCGGCUCCAGUAGCAGCCCUGGCCUCAAAGUCUCAGGAGGGACAGGAUUCCAGACAGGAGAGGGGACUGGUGUAGAGGCCCUGGGUGUGUCCAGGGAGAUGGGAAUGCAUCUCUGCAGCCAUGAGAAGGGGUCUCUGAGGGCCGUGCCAGCUCAGCAAGCCAUACCCCAAGGCCAAGAGAGUAGCGAGUAAGAGCCGCCGCCCAUUCAGGGCAGCCUGGCGCAAGGAUCGCCACCCCACUGUGGCUCUGCCAACCUUCCUCGAAGCUCCGCACCGUCCUGGGCUCCUCCCUCUCCCUGCAUGGGGAUCUCACCUCCCAGGCCUUCCCCUCCCCAGAUUUCUCUAAUAAAUCUCUUGUACAUCUAACUCCACCUUCUCUGCUUCUGGGAGGACAUGGACUAACACAGGGAUACGGAGAACCCAGUGAACUCACAGAGCAGGGGUAAGUGCUAGGUAAUUUGGCAAGCCUUCCAGAUACAAAAUCCUUAUGUAAAAAUUAACCCCAUUUCUGUACAUCAGUAACAAAUACAAAAUUAUAUGUUAAAGAUAACAUUUAUCUUAAUGCUUAAAAAAAAAAAGCAAGCCCUAACACUAAAUACAACAAAGGUCAUGCUAAGCUAACAUGGAGAAAUUUAUAGAACUUUGAAAGACAUUAAGAAAGAUCUAGGCAAAAAUGGAGAGAUACUGUGUUCACAGACUGAGAUAAACAAAUACAUAUGGGACCUUUCUAAAAACAAUUUAUAGAUAUAGUGGUACCUUGGUUCACAAACUUAAUCCAUUCUACGGUGGCCACAGUCAUGUUCCUCACCCGAUGAAGUUUUCAAACAGAAGCAGAAUUUGGCUGAACUCGUUUGCGAACAGAAGCAUUGGUAAGCUGAGGUAUUACUACAAUUCUAAUCAUUUUUUAAAAAAUAGGACUGGAUUCUAAAGCUGCUAUGAAAGAAAAGAGGUCAGAGGUAGGCAGUACUUCCCCCCAGGGGACUGAACCCAGGGCCUUGAACCUGAGCUCCAUCCCAGCCCCAGUGCGUUCCUGAGACUCAGUCCUCAGCAUACACUGAAGAGAUGCCUAUUUAUCACAGAGUGACGGGGACUGAGAUACUUCUGUAUGGAUUCGGGGAGAGACAAGCAGAUCAAAAGGACCAAACACACACUCGGGGAUUCUUGCUCACGAGUCAUCCAGACCCAGCUUCUCAAUUACUGCUGCCUGGAAACUGGCUCCACUUCCGAAAACAGAGCAGCUGAGCUCUGCCUCAUACUGUGUGUUGGAUCCCAGGCAGAUGGAAAACAGGAUGUGAAAGACCAGGCACUUCACGAUUUUUAGAUUCUGGUGUGAGGACUGUCUCUAAAGCCCCAGCUGGACACUUGGUGGAAACAGUGGCCAGGUGUGCCGUGUCCUCCUAACAGAUGUCACCAGGGCACGGGCCGGGCCCACACAACAGAGCCAGUGGUUUCGGGCUCCCGGGCUCCUGCACACACGGCCAAUGUGAGUUUCACGUCUCACAGGACAGAGUGCUCUUACCCAGUCAGUGCGACUUCCGGAUGCAUGGUGCCCUCCUGCUUGUGGGGGUCACGGGGCCGUGGGUCCUGCGAUGGCCUUCUGCUGAGGCUGUACCUUCACCGCCACGCGACACAAAGGUGAGGGCGAAGGCGCCCACAACCCUGAGCCAGCCCCAACACGUAGGGCUUCCCUGGUCUCUACCGUAAGGCUGCCAAGGUGAGACAGGGAUGCUUCUGAAGGAAGGGCCGCACCUAGGGCCUCGGGACCUCUGCCUGCAGUGACUGUGCACCUGCCCUCCUGAGCCCCGUCAUCAGGGCCCUGCUCAGAGGCUUCUGCUGCCACAACUCCCAGCCCAGGCAGUUUCCACCCCAACACCAGAGGACAUUUCUGGGAGUGGUUCCAGCAUAGGAUGGACCCCUGCAGCAACACUUCAAACGACACAAGAUAGAAGUAGGUUCUGUGGGCAAGUUACAGUACACUGUGAUUUUGGGGAAGACUUGUAGUGGAGAAGCUGGCUUCAAAUUUCCAACAUUAUGAAAUUUUUAACUAAAAUUAAAUCUACAUCCUAAGGUAGCUAAAAGGACACAGCAUGCAGAGAGAGGACUGUAAUACUGAUCAUGCCCAAAGCAGGCUGGGAAGAGUUAGCCCCAUAGCUAGCUUGUUUAUAGAAGUGAGUCUGGCCGAAGCCUACGUGCUGAGGUCAGGGUAAUUCGCACCCAAAUUCCAUCCCCACAACUAAAACCUUCUGACUAGAAGCACAGUGUUCUAAUAACAACCCUAUAUUUUGUCUGUUCUGUUCCUAAUUCAAGAUUGCUUUGUCUUGUCCUUUCUGAGCCUUGUUUACAUUACUUUUCCAAGAAACUGCAUGUAGCUCACCUUUAUCCCAAUUAACUGCCAAUAAAAGUCAGUGCCUGGGACUGGCCAGGGCCUGUCGGUUGUCCCUGCACCCCGCUUUCUCUCUCCUAGUUCUGCCUUUUAGUUUUAUUUCUCAGGCCUGCGUCGUAUACUGGGCAGGGUUCUGGAACCUAACUGCAGGAUCUCUAGUACUUGGCGCCCAUGGUCAGGGCUCAAACCAUGAGCAAUCACCUGCUCAGUAAGGCUACUCGGAAUAAAAAGAAGGAGUCGACAAUGCCGUGCACCUCACACCAAGGUCAAGGACAAGCACAACAACCCAGAGAAAGAGUUUAGAGACCAAAACUAUAAAGGUAACUGGGCUAAGAAGACAGCCAAUAUUUUGGCCCUGGCCCUUCAAGGUCUACAAACAGCCCAGGUCAUGACAGAAUCUUUUCUACAAGAUCCUACAACUUUGGUAAGUCACCGAACCUCCUGAGCAGGGAGACUGUGGGACACCAAAAAAAGGUAAGGAUCUGCAAAUGUAAAGUUUGCCAAAGGAGUGUCACAUGAAGGGAAAAAUCUCCCACGCUUUCACAGAAAGCAACAUGGUCAAGCAAGGCCACGACCCAUCCCGAUGGCUGACACUGACAGGAGCUGAGCAGCUCUGCACAAGGCUCAAUGUGAUGCCUGUGGAGACUUAGCUGACCUUGACAGUUAGGAAGUGGUUAAUUUUAAUUAAUAUAGAUCAGUAGAAAAGCAUAAUCCAAAGAUAUAUGAAGUAAAGACCAUAGUAAUAAAGCUGGGUGUAAGAAGAGGCUCCAAUUGCUGACCUCUUGUGGCAGUUUCCAGCUACACUGCUGACUCGCCCGUUAUAGGUCAUUAGAAGAGACUAUGGUAAAAUUUAUAGACAUCAACAAGAGUUUUUAGAAUUUUUAGCUAAAAUUGUUUUUUAAAAUUAUUAAAUUUUCAAUCUUUUUACAGCUAAAAUUAAAAGAAAAAUUAUGACAAAAUAUCAGACCAAUGGCUGGUCCGAGUACAGUGGUGUUUACAACUAAUUGAUCACAACCAGUUACAGAUAAGCUCCAUUAGUAAAAGGGUCUAAGAGUCAGCAGGUUCCACUCACUAUUUUAGUCCUUUAAAAACAGUUUCUAAACACGGCUCUUUCCCCAACCUGCAUUUUUUAUUUUAGUACUUAUACUUUGAUUAUACAUGCUCUAAUUUAAGAAAUUGUUUGUUCUUGCAUAUAGGCUGCCAAACUCCAAGUGAUCAUAUAGAUAAAAUCAACAAGAAAUGUGCUAAUUUUUUUAACCAAAAUCCACCAGACUGACUUUAUAAGAGUUUAUAGUUGCUAAAUUACAACAUAAUUUUUAUUUAAGGCUAUUAAAUUAGCCCCCUAAAGAGAGCCCCUAACUGUGGUCUUCCCUACACCGACACUUCUCAGCUCAAAAGAGAUUAAAACUAUGCUCUUUCUCCCCUAACCACAGCUGGAGAUGCUCUUUAUAAAAAAAAAUUAUUAUAGGCAACUAAGUCAGUUAAACACAUUAUAUAUCCUCGUGACAUAAGUUCAUUAAAUACCUCUCAGGGACAAGCCAUUGUUGGGCAUACUCACCUUUCCCUAAAAACACAAUCACAUAAACAAAGGGGGGGGGUCAGCUACCUCCAUAAGUUCAAUUAGAUCUUGUUAUUUUCAUUUUAAAUGUUUAAAAUCCACUUAUGGAAGCUAAAUAUACUCCACUGAAACUUCAUUAAUACAAAGAUAGAUCUACAGACAUGGCCUAGACACUAGUGUUGUCAAAGUAUGUCCUAACUAAAAGGUAAAUGGCUAAAAACAAUUAAUAACAUAGGGGCCAGAAUAUGCUUUUUUUUCAACAGAAAAUAAGAUGCUGUGACCAUCAUCCCAGAAUGUACCACCACGGACCAAGAUGAUAGAUUUGCUGCAAGCAGCACAAUGUGACCCCCGCUGAGGGCCAUGCAAAAGCUACAUGUGAGUGACUCUCCUCGCCUGCAACAGCCCUUGGACCUGCAAAGAUCACCAGACCUAACGCAGCUGACGUUUUCAACAGAGAAGAGGGAGAUGCAGAGGACUAUAAUAUUGAUUAUGACCAAAGCAGACUAAAGAGCUAACCCCACAAUCAGCUUGUUUAUAGAAAUGAGUCCAAAGCCCAUGUGCCAAGGUCAGAGUAACUCGCACCCAAAUUCCAUUCCCACAACUAAAACCUCCUGACUAGAAAGACAAUGUUCUAAUUACAAUCAUGUAUUUGUCUAUUCUGUUCCUAAUUCGAGAUUGCUUUGUCUUGUCCUUUAUGGGCCCUGUUUACAUUAAUUUCCAUAGGAAUUCCACACAGCUUGCUUUUACCCCAAUUAACUGCCAAUAAAAGUCAGUGCCUGGGACUGGCCAGGGCUUUGGGUGGUUGCACCAGCACUGGUCGGUCCUGGCCCCCUUUCUCUCUCCUA